rnacentral:tRNA from 1 species
AGCCAUGUGGCGCAAUGGUUAGCGCAGAACGCUUAUACCGUUAAGGUUGUGGGUUCAAGUCCCGCCAUGGCUA